rnacentral:rRNA from 1 species
UACGUAGGGUGCAAGCGUUAAUCGGAAUUACUGGGCGUAAAGCGUGCGCAGGCGGCUUUGCAAGACAGAUGUGAAAUCCCCGGGCUAACCUGGGAACUGCAUUUGUGACUGCAUGGCUGGAGUGCGGCAGAGGGGGAUGGAAUUCCGGCGUGUAGCAGUGAAAUGCGAUAGUAGAUGCGGAGGAACACCGAUGGCGAAGGCAGCCCCCCUGGGCUAGCACUGACGCUCAGGCACGAAAGCGUGGGGAGCAAACAGG